GACGAACGCUGGCGGCGUGCUUAACACAUGCAAGUCGAGCGGUAAGGCCCUUUCGGGGGUACACGAGCGGCGAACGGGUGAGUAACACGUGGGUGACCUGCCUUUAGCUCUGGGAUAAGCCUGGGAAACCGGGUCUAAUACCGGAUAUGACUCCGCGGCGCAUGUUGUGGGGUGGAAAGCCUUGUGCGGCUGGAGAUGGGGCCCGCGGCCUAUCAGCUUGGUUGGUGGGGUGACGGCCUACCAAGGCGACGACGGGUAGCCGGCCUGAGAGGGCGACCGGCCACACUGGGACUGAGACACGGCCCAGACUCCUACGGGAGGCAGCAGUGGGGAAUCUUGCGCAAUGGGCGAAAGCCUGACGCAGCGACGCCGCGUGAGGAUGAC
rnacentral:rRNA from 1 species